rnacentral:rRNA from 1 species
UACGGAGGGGGCUAGCGUUGUUCGGAAUCACUGGGCGUAAAGGGCGCGUAGGUGGCGCGGGAAGUCAACGGUGAAAGUUCAGGGCUCAACCCUGAAUCGGCCGUCGAUACUCCCGGGCUUGAGCACUGUAGAGGCAGGUGGAAUUCCGGGUGUAGCGGUGGAAUGCGUAGAGAUCCGGAAGAACACCGGUGGCGAAGGCGGGUCUCUGGGCAGUAACUGACGCUGAGGAGCGAAAGCGUGGGGAGCGAACAGG